CAUGCAAGUCGAGGGGAAACGACAUCGAAAGCUUGCUUUUGAUGGGCGUCGACCGGCGCACGGGUGAGUAACGCGUAUCCAACCUGCCCAUCACUUGGGGAUAACCUUGCGAAAGUAAGACUAAUACCCAAUGAUAUCUCUAGAAGGCAUCUGAAAGAGAUUAAAGAUUUAUCGGUGAUGGAUGGGGAUGCGUCUGAUUAGCUUGUUGGCGGGGUAACGGCCCACCAAAGCAACGAUCAGUAGGGGUUCUGAGAGGAAGGUCCCCCACAUUGGAACUGAGACACGGUCCAAACUCCUACGGGAGGCAGCAGUGAGGAAUAUUGGUCAAUGGACGAGAGUCUGAACCAGCCAAGUAGCGUGCAGGAUGACGGCCCUAUGGGUUGUAAACUGCUUUUAUAAGGGAAUAAAGUGAGUCUCGUGAGACUUUUUGCAUGUACCUUAUGAAUAAGGACCGGCUAAUUCCGUGCCAGCAGCCGCGGUAAUACGGAAGGUCCGGGCGUUAUCCGGAUUUAUUGGGUUUAAAGGGAGCGUAGGCCGGAGAUUAAGCGUGUUGUGAAAUGUAGAUGCUCAACAUCUGCACUGCAGCGCGAACUGGUUUCCUUGAGUACGCACAAAGUGGGCGGAAUUCGUGGUGUAGCGGUGAAAUGCUUAGAUAUCACGAAGAACUCCGAUUGCGAAGGCAGCUCACUGGAGCGCAACUGACGCUGAAGCUCGAAAGUGCGGGUAUCGAACAGGAUUAGAUACCCUGGUAGUCCGCACGGUAAACGAUGGAUGCCCGCUGUUGGUCUGAAUAGGUCAGCGGCCAAGCGAAAGCAUUAAGCAUCCCACCUGGGGAGUACGCCGGCA
rnacentral:rRNA from 1 species